rnacentral:tRNA from 1 species
GCGGAUAUUGCAUAAUGGUAGUGCCUUUGCCUUCCAAGCAAAAGGCGCGGGUUCGAUUCCAGCUAUCCGCU